rnacentral:rRNA from 1 species
GCACGGGUGAGUAACACGUAUCCAACCUGCCGAUGACUCGGGGAUAGCCUUUCGAAAGAAAGAUUAAUACCCGAUGGCAUAGUUCUUCCGCAUGGUAGAACUAUUAAAGAAUUUCGGUCAUCGAUGGGGAUGCGUUCCAUUAGGUUGUUGGCGGGGUAACGGCCCACCAAGCCUUCGAUGGAUAGGGGUUCUGAGAGGAAGGUCCCCCACAUUGGAACUGAGACACGGUCCAAACUCCUACGGGAGGCAGCAGUGAGGAAUAUUGGUCAAUGGACGAGAGUCUGAACCAGCCAAGUAGCGUGAAGGAUGACUGCCCUAUGGGUUGUAAACUUCUUUUAUACGGGAAUAAAGUGAGGCACGUGUGCCUUUUUGUAUGUACCGUAUGAAUAAGGAUCGGCUAACUCCGUGCCAGCAGCCGCGGUAAUACGGAGGAUCCGAGCGUUAUCCGGAUUUAUUGGGUUUAAAGGGAGCGUAGGCGGACGCUUAAGUCAGUUGUGAAAGUUUGCGGCUCAACCGUAAAAUUGCAGUUGAUACUGGGUGUCUUGAGUACAGUAGAGGCAGGCGGAAUUCGUGGUGUAGCGGUGAAAUGCUUAGAUAUCACGAAGAACUCCGAUUGCGAAGGCAGCCUGCUGGACUGUAACUGACGCUGAUGCUCGAAAGUGUGGGUAUCAAACAGGAUUAGAUACCCUGGUAGUCCACACAGUAAACGAUGAAUACUCGCUGUUUGCGAUAUACGGUAAGCGGCCAAGCGAAAGCGUUAAGUAUUCCACCUGGGGAGUACGCCGGCAACGGUGAAACUCAAA